rnacentral:lncRNA from 1 species
AAUGCAUUCUCAGUGGAAGGUAAGUAAAUACAUUCUCAUUCUUAGGAAGACUGCUGGAAAAGAAUUAGCAAAGAUUUGAGAUAAGAAAAAUGAUACCAGAAGGAAACUUAGAACAUCAUCAGUGAAGGAACAAAAGCAGAAAUAGAACAUGUCUGGGUAGACAUAACAGACUAUUAUUCUUCCCUUGAGUUCCUUAAGGAGACUACGGAAAAGAAGAGUGACUAAGAUCUCUGAAGAAGGGAAAAGCUAGAUGACUGGGCCACAAGAGGAAAAAAAGCAGCAAGACAGACAAUGAGUAGCCACUGCUGUUUGCCCUGGCCCAUCAAUGAGAAGAUCUGCUCUUAGAGCCCUGCUUUCCUGCUGAAGGCCCUGAAAUCACCUGUGUUCCAGGCCACCUGCUAACAAUAAAUAAUGCUGCCCUGAUGUGGGGAAUUAGCUCAAGUGGUAGAGCGCUUGCUUAGCACGCAAGAGGUAGUGGGAUCGAUGCCCACAUUCUCCAAGCUUUAUUAUUUAGACAUCGUGUCUCCAAACACUCAGGUCUCCAAACCCAAGUUAGUGUCUGAGAACAGGAUGCUGCUUUGGUUCAAGACGUAGGAGCAGCAAUAAUAGAGGGCUGGUGAUGGCUCCCUCUUGGCAUUCAGUAUAGUGUAGAUCUACCAUGUAAUUAAUUCUCUGUUUCUUUGAGGAGCUGUGAAACCAAGGGACAUAUACAACUGCUCUUUUCUCCCUGUUUCUACCUGCAGCUUUGUCCUAAAUGUGAGACAAUUAUGAAAAGUGCAGCGCAGAGCCACUUGGGUAAAUACAGCCCCGGCUUUCUGCUCAGGGGACAGAGUUUGAGGCACUGCAGAGGAACCGGCCAAAGUAUGAGACCCAUAUAUUGAGAGUAACAGAGUGUAAAGUUCAAAAAAAUCAAAAUAUUUAAAGAUUUAUCAUGGGUCUUGAUGACAUGAUGGAAUCUCUCUACUCUCUGGACUUAUUAUGUGUGGUAAUAAAUUUACUUUUUAA